ensembl:rRNA 5S_rRNA 5S ribosomal RNA
GCAUACAGCAUAUCAGACUAAAUGCACCUGACCAUGUCUGAUUUUGGUAGCUAAACAGUCCCAAGCCUGGCUAGUGCUUGGAUGGGAAAUCACCUGGGAAUCUUGUGAGCUGUAAGCA